rnacentral:rRNA from 1 species
UCGGGAAUUUUGGGCAAUGGGGGAAACCCUGACCCAGCAACGCCGCGUGAGGGAUGAAGGCCUUCGGGUCGUAAACCUCUGUCAGGAGGGAAGAAGGCUCCCGGUGAGAAUAUUGCCGGGGGAUUGACGGUACCUCCAAAGGAAGCACCGGCUAACUCCGUGCCAGCAGCCGCGGUAAUACGGAGGGUGCAAGCGUUGUUCGGAAUCAUUGGGCGUAAAGCGCGUGUAGGCGGCUCGGCAAGUCGGAUGUGAAAGCCCGGGGCUCAACCCCGGAACGGCAUUCGAAACUGCCGGGCUAGAGUCCCGGAGAGGGUGGCAGAAUUCCCGGUGUAGAGGUGAAAUUCGUAGAUAUCGGGAGGAAUACCAGUGGCGAAGGCGGCCACCUGGACGGUGACUGACGCUCAGACGCGAAAGCGUGGGGAGCAAACAGGAUUAGAUACCCCCGUAGUCC